AUUUCCCCCGCGUUAGGGAUUGCAGCGGCAUCCUUUUGUGAAGUGCAACGGAACAAAAGAUAUAGCGGAAAGCCCGACCCGUA
rfam:Niabella soli DSM 19437, complete genome.